UGGGGGAACAGGCUCAUGAACAAGCUUGAAGGAGGGAGGAGGAGGAUGAGAAAGAGAAGAAGUAGAUGAGAGAAAAGGAGAGAGAGAGAGAAAAGAGAUCGUUAAUGAGGAAUGGAUGGAGAUGAAUGAAGCCAUCGUGGUGAAAAAAUGGAUGAGAAGAAAGAGAGAGAGAGAAAAAGGGACACCGAUAAUGGAAGAAG
rnacentral:lncRNA from 1 species